GCAGCAGCGCACUGCACAGAUCCAUACGAGAUCUCGAUUCUCAUUCCGUUUUAGACAACAAACGGGCAAUGUUCUGACCGACAAAAUGGAGCAGAGUGUCUCCUCUGCGAAAAAAAAAAAAAACCAAUUACCUGUGCGAUUUUUACCUGUGUUUUCGUUCGGAUGAUUGGCUGAUUGAUGGCAGGCAUGCAACAGCGGUGGCAACAGCAACAGUAGCAACGACGCGAUCGGUUUUGGUUUUUAAGUAUUAAAUACAUGAUAAAAAAUACAAUUAAAAAACAAAGAAAAUAAUGUGGAUAGUGGACAGUGGAUAGAUAGUACUGUGUGUCUAUCGGCAUCGGUAAAUCGAGAGUAAUCGAUAAAUGAUAAACAUAAAUAAAACAAUUACAUAUCGGAAAUCGUAUCGGUACUUAAAAACAAAAAGAGUCGCAUGAGUUUUUAUGAUUAAUUUUUUAGUAAAGCUCACAAGCGGCAAAUAAUCAUCGAUUUUUCUCUCUCUAUUUUGGACACAUUUUUGGAAUUCAUUUACAACAAAUGAUUGAUGAUUGAGAGUGUGUGAUUGACAGAACAAGAUGGAAAACAAAAUUAGUAAAGAAAACAGUAGAAGCGGUAAUAAAAAAUGAAUUAUAAAAUCUCAUGCAACAUCACUACAAAAAUAAAUAAAUUUUAAAUUAAAAUAUAAACAAUACAUAAAUCAUUAUCAUCAUCAUCAUCAUCAUCAUCAUCAACAUUCGAUGUGAGGAUACACACGGAUAUAAACAUAUUUGAAAGGACUGUCUGGGGAUACAAGUUCGUAGGAGGAUCGUACGUUUGGGUUUUUCAUUUGGUAAGAGUCUUGAUCGUGAAGAGUCCUAUCUGAAAGCGCAUCU